rnacentral:snoRNA from 1 species
UCUAGCCAUGAUGAUUAGUAGUCCCUGUCUCAAAAUCUCAUUUGGGGGAAAUAAUCCACCCUGAGGCUUCG